GGGGCCAAUGGAUAGUUCCGCAGUAGAUAAGCUGCUUGAUUUCUUAUUUCAAGUUCCCACUCUAAAGUACAUCGAUUUCAGUAUACGCCAAUUUCUUACUCUUAAGCAAGGUUAUCAGACUCUCGAGAGGAUGUAUGAAGAAGAGGACUAUUUACUGUUGAGUGAUGUCUUAGCUUCUCACUUCAAGAAGAGAUGGUUGUCUGCAAAACAGUCUCUCGAGAGGGUGUAUGAAGAAGAGGACUAUUUACUGUUGAGUGAUGUCUUAGCUUCUCACUUCAAGAAGAGAUGGUUGUCUGCAAAACAUAAGCGUAAAUCUGCUGCUGGAGAUGAG
rnacentral:lncRNA from 1 species